AACGAACGCUGGCGGCAUGCCUAACACAUGCAGGUCGAACGAGACCUCCGGGACUAGUGGCGCACGCGUGCGUAACGCGUGGGACCCUGCCCUUAGGUUCGGAAUAACACCUCGAAAGGGGUGCUAAUACCGGAUAAUGUCUUCGGACAACAGAUUUAUCUUGCUUGUAUGGGCCCGCGUUGUAUUAGCUAGUGGGUAUGGUAAAAGCCUACCAAGGCUACGCUCCAUAGCUGGUCUGAGAGGAUGAUCAGCCACACUGAGAGUAGGACGCGGCCCAGACUACUGCACGAGGCAGGAGUGGGUAAUAUUGGAAUAUGGGCGAAGGGCUGAAGCAGCUAGGGCGGGAGAGUGAUGAAGGCCUGAGGGUAAUAAAGCUCUUUUAUCCGGGAUGAUAAUGACAGUACCGAGAGAAUAAGCGCCGGCUAACUUCGUG
rnacentral:rRNA from 1 species